rnacentral:rRNA from 1 species
AGUGAACGCUGGCGGUAGGCCUAACACAUGCAAGUCGAACGGCAGCACAGGAGAGCUUGCUCUCUGGGUGGCGAGUGGCGGACGGGUGAGGAAUACAUCGGAAUCUACUCUGUCGUGGGGGAUAACGUAGGGAAACUUACGCUAAUACCGCAUACGACCUACGGGUGAAAGCAGGGGACCUUCGGGCCUUGCGCGAUUGAAUGAGCCGAUGUCGGAUUAGCUAGUUGGCGGGGUAAAGGCCCACCAAGGCGACGUUCCGUAGCUGGUCUGAGAGGAUGAUCAGCCACACUGGAACUGAGACACGGUCCAGACUCCUACGGGAGGCAGCAGUGGGGAAUAUUGGACAAUGGACGCAAGCCUGAUCCAGCCAUACCGCGUGGGUGAAGAAGGCCUUCGGGUUGUAAAGCCCUUUUGUUGGGAAAGAAAUCCAGCUGGCUAAUACCCGGUUGGGAUGACGGUACCCAAAGAAUAAGCACCGGCUAACUUCGUGCCAGCAGCCGCCGCGG